rnacentral:rRNA from 1 species
GAUGAACGCUGGCAGCGUGCCUAAUACAUGCAAGUCGAGCGAACGGACGAGAAGCUUGCUUCUCUGAUGUUAGCGGCGGACGGGUGAGUAACACGUGGAUAACCUACCUAUAAGACUGGGAUAACUUCGGGAAACCGGAGCUAAUACCGGAUAAUAUUUUGAACCGCAUGGUUCAAAAGUGAAAGACGGUCUUGCUGUCACUUAUAGAUGGAUCCGCGCUGCAUUAGCUAGUUGGUAAGGUAACGGCUUACCAAGGCAACGAUGCAUAGCCGACCUGAGAGGGUGAUCGGCCACACUGGAACUGAGACACGGUCCAGACUCCUACGGGAGGCAGCAGUAGGGAAUCUUCCGCAAUGGGCGAAAGCCUGACGGAGCAACGCCGCGGGAGUGAUGAAGGUCUUCGGAUCGUAAAACUCUGUUAUUAGGGAAGAACAUAUGUGUAAGUAACUGUGCACAUCUUGACGGUACCUAAUCAGAAAGCCACGGCUAACUACGU